CGUGCUUACCAUGCAAGUCGAGCGGAAGGCCCUUCGGGGUACUCGAGCGGCGAACGGGUGAGUAACACGUGAGUAACCUGCCCCUGACUCUGGGAUAAGCCCGGGAAACUGGGUCUAAUACCGGAUACGACCACUCCAGGCAUCUGGUGGUGGUGGAAAGUUUUUUCGGUUGGGGAUGGACUCGCGGCCUAUCAGCUUGUUGGUGGGGUAGUGGCCUACCAAGGCGACGACGGGUAGCCGGCCUGAGAGGGCGACCGGCCACACUGGGACUGAGACACGGCCCAGACUCCUACGGGAGGCAGCAGUGGGGAAUAUUGCGCAAUGGGCGAAAGCCUGACGCAGCGACGCCGCGUGGGGGAUGACGGCCUUCGGGUUGUAAACCUCUUUCAGCAGGGACGAAGUUGACGUGUACCUGCAGAAGAAGCGCCGGCUAACUACGUGCCAGCAGCCGCGGUAAUACGUAGGGCGCAAGCGUUGUCCGGAAUUAUUGGGCGUAAAGAGCUCGUAGGUGGCUGGUCGCGUCUGCCGUGAAAGCCCGCAGCUUAACUGCGGGUCUGCGGUGGAUACGGGCCGGCUAGAGGUAGGUAGGGGCAAGUGGAAUUCCUGGUGUAGCGGUGAAAUGCGCAGAUAUCAGGAGGAACACCGGUGGCGAAGGCGGCUUGCUGGGCCUUACCUGACGCUGAGGAGCGAAAGCGUGGGGAGCGAACAGG
rnacentral:rRNA from 1 species